rnacentral:rRNA from 1 species
AUAAACGCUGGCGGCGUGCUUAACACAUGCAAGUCGAACGCAGUUUUUCUUUCGGGAGGAACUUAGUGGCGGACGGGUGAGUAACGCGUGGGUAACCUGCCCUGUACAGGGGGACAACAGCUGGAAACGGCUGCUAAUACCGCAUAAGCCCUUAGCACUGCAUGGUGCAUAGGGAAAAGGAGCAAUCCGGUACAGGAUGGACCCGCGUCUGAUUAGCCAGUUGGCAGGGUAACGGCCUACCAAAGCGACGAUCAGUAGCCGAUCUGAGAGGAUGUACGGCCACAUUGGGACUGAGACACGGCCCAGACUCCUACGGGAGGCAGCAGUGGGGAAUAUUGCACAAUGGAGGAAACUCUGAUGCAGCGACGCCGCGUGAGUGAAGAAGUAUUUCGGUAUGUAAAGCUCUAUCAGCAGGAAAGAAAAUGACGGUACCUGACUAAGAAGCACCGGCUAAAUACGUG